AGCAAAUAGCGAGGGGAAAAUAUUCGGUCAGUAAGAACUACAAUUUGUGGUCCAUGAUGUUAAUAAUUAAAUAAGCAGAAAAUUUAGAAGUUAGUUGUCCAAUCAAAAUUUCUCUCUUUCAAAAUAGCAUAAAACGCUGAGCUAAAAUGAAAAUAAAACUCUCUACGCUCCUAAUAGGGUUACUCAUUGCUUCAACCCAUCAGUGAAAUAGAACUCAAAGAAUCUGUGGGGAAGGAACCAUUUUUUUGAACCAUCGAAGAUAUCUUGUUGUUAUAGUGAAUUCAGAAAUUGAAGACUCAAUUGAUUCGUCCAAUACACAUAACAUCGAGGUAUAGGUGUUUCACAUCUGAAAAAGGUACCAAUUUAUAUUUUUGGUUCAUCAUAUGCUUUUUCAGACGGAGACAAAAGAGAAGGGGCUCGUGCUAUAAAGAAUUCGUCUUCAGAGGAAGUAGACAUUUACUAUUCUGCUUGGCCCGAAGCCUAACUAGUGUUUUCAAGACUCGCUUCAAAGAAAGGGGGAUUGAUCCAUCAAUUAAAAGGGCAGCCUAGGAGUUCCUGUUGGAUUGUUUUGAUCCUGAAAGUACACUUGAGAAAAGAAAUCAGCUUAGACGACAACAAAGGGCUGGGCUGAACAAAAUGCUAGCAGCAGAGUAUCUUAGAUCUGUGGAUUUAUCAUAAUACAUUUAGGAAUAAAGUACUCCAUGUGACUAGAGAACAAGAACCAGUGAAAGUAUCAGGGCAGCCCGGUGCACUUAAGCUCCCACUAUGCGCAGGGUCCGGGGAAGGGCCCGACCACAAGGGUCUAUUGUACGCAGUCUUACCUUGCAUUUCUGCCAGAAGCUGUUUCCAAGGCUUGAAUCCGUGACCUCCUGGUCACAUGGCAGCAACUUUACCAGUUACUCCAAGGCUCCUCUUAUGAUUGUUGUGCAUAUGUGCAGUCAUAGAUUAUUCCGGAGGUGGAGACAAGCGAGUAACUUUUUCUGAUGAUCAAGAAUUCAAAGUCACGAAGGACCUUCAAGUAUGGAUCGAAUUGAAUUAAAAUAGUUGAAGAUGUUAGCAGAUGAACACGUUGAAGCGCAAGAAGUUAAUUGUUAAACCUACUUUUCUUAUUAUCUAGGCUAUUUGCUUAAAAAUAUUAAUUACUAUAUAUAUAUUCUAGUCUCUUAUUUUUCUUAUUGUACGAUUUUUAAAACCUCUUUGUUUUUUGUAAUGAACUACGUACAAUGCUUAUAUUAUCAGCAAUUUAUAGUAUUGACUCUAUUUUAUGAGUUUAAAA